UCCUAAGAACUCCACGUGAAAGAAAGAGUUCCAUGUGCCAGAUAGUUUUGACCCCCCCACGACACAAACACACAUAUAUUAUAUACACACUGUAUGUAUGUAAUACAUACGUUAUACAAGUUUUUUUUUUUUUUCUAGACGGAGUCUUCCUCUGUCGCCCAGGCUGGAAUGCAGUGAUGUAAUCCUGACUCUCUACAACCUCUGCCUCCCAGGUUCAAAUAAUUCUCCUGCCUCAGCCUCCUGUGUAGCUGGGAUUACAUGCAUGCACCACCACACCCAGCUAAUUUUGUAUUUUAGUAGAGACAGGGUUUUGCCAUGUUGACCAGGCUGGUCUUGAACUCCUGACCUCAGGUGAUGCCCGCCUUGGCCUCCCAAAGUGCUGAGAUUACAGGCGUGAGCCACCACACCCAGUCCGAUGUUACACGUGACUACGCAAAUCAACAUUGUCGUCUGCCAAAGAAAGGGUUCCAGAUAUCCCAACAGAUGCCAAAUAAAUACUGGGACUUUGUUAUUCUCUGCAACAAAAUCAUUUACACCAAGUCAGGCCUGGAAGGGUCACCAAGCAGACUUCACAGCAGACCAUGACAUCCACAAGAAAACAGGAACAAGGACGCUAGAGGAGAGAAAGGAUUCAGUUUUCAGCCAUCUGAAGGCAGCUGGGGAAGCUUGGCCCACACACCACUGUGAGAAGGGUAAAGAUCACAUGUGUUACGUAACUCCAGCCCCUUCUCCCCACUGGUGGCCUGCCGAAGUGGAGCUGCACAGCUGUGUUAGAGCAACCAGGCUGAACACAGGGAUGCCUGGAUUCUCAGACACUCUAGAUGCCCAUGGGAAAAGGGAGCACUCAGCGGAGUCACUCGACAAGAGGCACACCUUCUCCCAGCUCUUUAACGCCUCAGGGUGGAAAAUGAAAGAUGCUUGAGGUCACUGCCCCUCCUGUUCUGUACACAAGCCCAAGCUUGGGAGGAAAUUAUUUGAGAUAUUCAGAAGAAGCAGGGAGAGCAGGGCAGCUCUGAAGUCACUGGGAGGCUGUGAGAGGUCAGCCAGCACUUCAAAGGACCCCAGGACCUUUGCAUAACCCUGGACUGAGUGGGAAGGGAAAGUCCCAGUCAUGACAGAAACUGAAUUUCCCACCAACUCAGUAGGAGGUUUGGGAUUCAGGGUCGGUUUCAUGGCAGUGCAGACAAAAUAAAGAAAAUGUGAUAUUUAUUGCUUACUUAAAUUUGUGGACCAAACUGCCUACCAUGCUAUCCACACUGUUUCCUGCAAGCAGUCAAUAUGGGCUUAAGGGAAAUGUAACUCAUCUUAAUAUUUGUUUAAAUCAAAUGGAAUAUAGAAAGUAAAUAAAUCUGCUGCCAAACCAUCAACUAGGGCAUUCUAAACCCAAAAUAAAGAGCCUAUGGACUGUCUG
rnacentral:lncRNA from 1 species